CCUACGGGAGGCAGCAGUGAGGAAUAUUGGUCAAUGGACGAGAGUCUGAACCAGCCAAGUAGCGUGAAGGAUGACGGCCCUAUGGGUUGUAAACUUCUUUUAUAUGGGAAUAAAAUGUUCCACGUGUGGGAUUUUGUAUGUACCAUAUGAAUAAGGAUCGGCUAACUCCGUGCCAGCAGCCGCGGUCAUACGGAGGAUGCGAGCGUUAUCCGGAUUUAUUGGGUUUAAAGGGAGCGUAGGUGGGUUGUUAAGUCAGUUGUGAAAGUUUGCGGCUCAACCGUAAAAUUGCAGUUGAAACUGUGAGUCUUGAGUGCAGUAGAGGUAGGCGGAAUUCGGGGUGUAGCGGUGAAAUGCUUAGAUAUCACGAAGAACUCCGAUUGCGAAGGCAGCUUACUGGACUGCAACUGACACUGAGGCUCGAAAGUGUGGGUAGCAAACAGGAUUAGAUACCCCAGUAGUC
rnacentral:rRNA from 1 species